rnacentral:tRNA from 1 species
GGCGGGAUGAUCUGUUGGUUUUAGAUCACUCUGUCCGACUUAUCCCGUACUAAGCUCGCUAUCUGGAUUCUCGGGAAUCAAUCCAUUAGGGCUGAAUGCUGCUGAGGGUUCGACUCCCUCGCCCGCCA